GACGAACGCUGGCGGCGUGCCUAAUACAUGCAAGUAGGACGCACAGUUUAUACCGUAGCUUGCUACACCAUAGACUGUGAGUUGCGAACGGGUGAGUAACGCGUAGGUAACCUGCCUAUUAGAGGGGGAUAACUAUUGGAAACGAUAGCUAAUACCGCAUAACAGUAUGUAACACAUGUUAGAUGCUUGAAAGAUGCAAUUGCAUCGCUAGUAGAUGGACCUGCGUUGUAUUAGCUAGUAGGUAGGGUAAUGGCCUACCUAGGCGACGAUACAUAGCCGACCUGAGAGGGUGAUCGGCCACACUGGGACUGAGACACGGCCCAGACUCCUACGGGAGGCAGCAGUAGGGAAUCUUCGGCAAUGGGGGGAACCCUGACCGAGCAACGCCGCGUGAGUGAAGAAGGUUUUCGGAUCGUAAAGCUCUGUUGUUAAGGAAGAACGAGUGUGAGAAUGGAAAGUUCAUACUGUGACGGACUAACCAGAAAGGAC
rnacentral:rRNA from 1 species